rnacentral:rRNA from 1 species
GACGAACGCUGGCGGCGUGCCUAAUACAUGCAAGUUGAGCGCUGAAGGUUGGUACUUGUACCAACUGGAUGAGCAGCGAACGGGUGAGUAACGCGUGGGGAAUCUGCCUUUGAGCGGGGGACAACAUUUGGAAACGAAUGCUAAUACCGCAUAAAAACUUUAAACACAAGUUUUAAGUUUGAAAGAUGCAAUUGCAUCACUCAAAGAUGAUCCCGCGUUGCAUUAGCUAGUUGGUGAGGUAAAGGCUCACCAAGGCGAUGAUACAUAGCCGACCUGAGAGGGUGAUCGGCCACAUUGGGACUGAGACACGGCCCAAACUCCUACGGGAGGCAGCAGUAGGGAAUCUUCGGCAAUGGACGAAAGUCUGACCGAGCAACGCCGCGUGAGUGAAGAAGGUUUUCGGAUCGUAAAACUCUGUUGGUAGAGAAGAACGUUUGUGAGAGUGGAAAGCUCAUCAAGUGACGGUAACUACCCAGAAAGGGACGGCUAACUACGUG